UUCUUUGUAGAUUGGGGUAGACACAACACCAGUUGUAGCAGUUGUUUGUUGAGAAGAUAUUGGAGUUUGUUCUGUUGCUUCCAUUUGCUUAGAGUAAUUAUAGACGGAUUGUUAUUGAGGAUCCAUGAUGAACUUGAUGAAGAAGAUGAUGAACCUGAUGAAGAUGAUGAACUUGAAAGAGGAGAGGGGUUUGUGUAGGCAGUGAGUGUAAACGUGUGAAUUAU
rnacentral:lncRNA from 1 species